GCCAGGUGUGGUGGCGCAUGCCUGUAAUCCCAGCUACUCAGGAGGCUGAGACAGGAGAAUCACUUGAACCCAGGAGGCGGAGGUUGCAGUGAGCUGAGAUCAAGCCACUGCACUCCAGCCUGGGCAACAGAGUGAGACUCCAUCUCAA
rnacentral:SRP_RNA from 1 species